AUUGAACGCUGGCGGCAGGCCUAACACAUGCAGGUCGAACGAUGGGCGGCCGGGUGGGUAAUGUCGGGAAAACUGCCUGAUGGGGGGGGAUACUUCCUGGAAAGGUUACCUAAUCCCGAAUACCAUCGGAGGUGCCCAUAUGGGAUUAGCUAGUAGGUGGGUUAAGGGCUCACCAGGGCGACGAUCCCUAGCUGGUCUGAGAGGAUGACCAGCCACACUGGAACUGAGACACGGUCCAGACUCCUACGGGAGGCAGCAGUGGGGAAUAUUGCACAAUGGGCGCAAGCCUGAUGCAGCCAUGCCGCGUGUAUGAAGAAGGCCUUCGGGUUGUAAAGUACUUUCAGCGGGGAGGCGUUACCCGCAGAAGAAGCACCGGCUAACUCCGUGCCAGCCGCCGCGGUAAUUC
rnacentral:rRNA from 1 species